CCCGCCGGCGACCGGCGCACGGGUGAGUAACACGUAUGCAACCUGGCCGCCACAGGGGGAUAACCCGCGGAAACGCGGCCUAAUACCCCGUGACGCCACCGGAGGGCAUCCUCCGGUGGCCAAAGGAGCGAUCCGGUGGCGGAUGGGCAUGCGGCGCAUUAGCUAGACGGCGGGUGACGGCCCACCGUGGCGACGAUGCGUAGGGGUUCUGAGAGGAAGGCCCCCCACACUGGGACUGAGACACGGCCCAGACUCCUACGGAAGGCAGCAG
rnacentral:rRNA from 1 species